GCCUCGAUAGCUUAGUUGGUCGAAGCGCUAAACUGAAAAUUUAGAGAUAUUGGUUCAAUUCCAUUUCAAGGCA